GCGAGCAUGGCGGAAUUGGUAGACGCGCAGGAUUUAGGUUCCUGUGACUGCGGUCGUGAGGGUUCGAGUCCCUUUGCUCGCA
rfam:Bifidobacterium mongoliense DSM 21395 Contig04, whole genome shotgun sequence.